rnacentral:rRNA from 1 species
UGGUGUUGUGAAAUGUCUGGUUGAUUCCGUUAACGAACGAGACCUUAACCUACUAAAUAGUUACGCGAACCUUCUAAUAUAGGGUGAAGCGGCUCGUGCGUAGUGCCUACGGGCGCUGCCAUAGGCUGUGAAUCCCUUGAUGUGUUCGUGGCUAUACUUCUUAGAGGGACUAUUCGUUUCCAGCGAAUGGAAGUUUGAGGCAAUAACA